GUGAACUUGCUAAUAACCUCACUUCCUGGUGGGUUACCUGUAUUGCUUCAUUUCCUGUUUACUUCCUCUUCCUGGUUGCUCUAAGAGGGAGAGUGACAUGCGGUCAUGCUCUGAGGCUUAUCCACAGCCAUCCACUUGGGAACAUUGUUCAGGCAACGCCUUUUCACCGCUUGUCAAAUGAAGAUUCUGAGUAAAAAGUCAACUCUACUCGGACUCCUGUAUUCAUUGACAGAGGUUUA